rnacentral:rRNA from 1 species
AGGGCACCACCAGGAGUGGAGCCUGCGGCUUAAUUUGACUCAACACGGGAAAACUCACCCGGCCCGGACACUGGAAGGAUUGACAGAUUGAGAGCUCUUUCUUGAUUCAGUGGGUGGUGGUGCAUGGCCGUUCUUAGUUGGUGGAGCGAUUUGUCUGGUUAAUUCCGAUAACGAACGAGACUCUAGCCUACUAAAUAGAUCGUCGGCUUACAAACGCUGAUGAGACUUCUUAGAGGGACAGGCGGCAAUUCAGCCGCACGAAACAGAGCAAUAACAGGUCUGUGAUGCCCUUAGAUGUCCGGGGCCGCACGCGCGCUACACUGAAGUGAUCAGCGUGCAUUUUCAGCCUACUCUGCCAAGAGUGGGAAACCCAAUGAACCUUCUUCGUGAUUGGGAUAGGAGAUUGUAAUUAUUCUCCUUGAACGAGGAAUUCCCAGUAAGCGCGAGUCAUAAGCUCGCGUUGAUUACGUCCCUGCCCUUUGUACACACCGCCCGUCGCUACUACCGAUUGAAUGUUUU